AGGAGUACCCCUGGCCUUUCCCCGGCCUUUCCCCGGGAAAGGCUCCCACGAGUGCAGACGUCGGGGAGGAAACCCUCGCUCGUUCUGUCUCGCACUCGUGAACGACUGGCGGCGGCGGCGACUGGAAAACCUCCUCCGUCCACCGCUCUGGUCUGCCUCCGUCCACCGCUCCUGCCUCCUCCGACCGGCGACUGCGACGCCCCCUGCCCUCCUCCCUUCGACGCUCUGCCCCUCCGGAUGGGGUGACGGGGCCGGGGUCGCCAUCCUACUACUUCCCGGAUCUCGUCUCCGCCCCCAAGAUCUUCACCUUCCGAUGACGACGACGGCCAGGAGAUCAUGCUCCUCUUCGUCCAAGAUCCAAGAGCCCUCUCUCCUGUUUGAGUUUUGUAUCACAAGAACCAAUACGAAAGAACAUCCAUCGUUUGCAGUAGUGUUUCUACCUAACUAUCAUGGCCUCACAACAAAGCCAAUUGAUAGUAUUAUCGAUGCAGUGCUGUUAAGUCAUCAAUUACUAAUGUACUGUUAGAAAAUGGCCUUUACUGAUUGAAGGAGAAAAUUGCUACCAAGGAGAAAACAUAAGAGGGUGUAUACAAAUGAGUUCAUGCUCUUGUCAGUUUUUCUUUGUGGAAUUACCAUGUCGGCGCUGGUGGCAUUGAACGUGUCGACGAUGGGGGCAAUGCCAUCCUUGACGAUUCAGUUCAGGAUCCCCCACUUGGCGGCGUCCUUGGCGCUGUAGCUCUCUUUCGGGUUCAGCCCGCAGCCGACGGAGACGACCAUGAACUUGCCGUAUGUUGGAAUAAACCCAAGUCCGCACCUAGUAUAUUUCUCUGCCAUGGUUUCCUAAAGCUAGUCAAUGAAAUUGUUCAAAGAAGUUGAUCUUGGAAGUUUCAGUAGUGACUAUCCCAGCAGCAACACAUUUUGGCAUGGAUGAUUUACACAGAUACAUGUUAAUAAUGGAACUAAAUGAUUAUUCUUGCUGGAUUUCUACCUUAGUUAGCAUUUCCGCUGUUAAACCAUGAUUAGCACGCUAAAUUUAUUCGCAGUGUCGUUAUUUGUGCGACUGAACAUGUAUAACUUAUGGUCAGUGUGUUUGAUGUGGAUUGAAGUGUUUUAUUUUUUUACUGUU